rnacentral:piRNA from 1 species
UGAAGAGGUUGAAGUCUUGUAUGGUGUGGU